UACGGAGGGUGCAAGCGUUAUCCGGAAUCAUUGGGUUUAAAGGGUCCGCAGGCGGUUGUAUAAGUCAGUGGUGAAAUCUCUCAGCUUAACUGAGAAACUGCCAUUGAUACUGUACGACUUGAAUUUGGUUGGAGUGGGCGGAAUGUGUCAUGUAGCGGUGAAAUGCAUAGAUAUGACACAGAACACCGAUAGCGAAGGCAGCUCACUAAGCCAAUAUUGACGCUCAUGGACGAAAGCGUGGGGAGCAAACAGG
rnacentral:rRNA from 1 species